rnacentral:rRNA from 1 species
AUGAACGCUGGCGGCGUGCCUAAUACCUGCAAGUCGAGCGAACAGAUGAGGAGCUUGCUCCUCUGACGUUAGCGGCGGACGGGUGAGUAACACGUGGAUAACCUACCUAUAAGACUGGGAUAACUUCGGGAAACCGGAGCUAAUACCGGAUAAUAUAUUGAACCGCAUGGUUCAAUAGUGAAAGACGGUUUUGCUGUCACUUAUAGAUGGAUCCGCGCCGCAUUAGCUAGUUGGUAAGGUAACGGCUUACCAAGGCAACGAUGCGUAGCCGACCUGAGAGGGUGAUCGGCCACCCUGGAACUGGGACACGGUCCAGACUACUACGGGAGGCAGCAGUAGGGAAUCUUCCGCAAUGGGCGAAAGCCUGACGGAGCAACGCCGCGUGAGUGAUGAAGGUCUUCGGAUCGUAAAAAUCUGUUAUUAGGGAAGAACAAAUGUGUAAGUAACUAUGCACGUCUUGACGGUACCUAAUCAGAAAGCCACGGCUAACUACGUG